rnacentral:lncRNA from 1 species
UUCGCUGCUUGUGGAGGAGUUGUGCUUGAGGAGGACUGCUAGCAGUUUGAAGUGUCAGUGGAUUCUAUGGGUAAUGGCUCAAAUAAUUCUUCUACUGAAACCUCAGUCCAACACUAACUUGAUGCAGGAGCAGCAGCGUUAGGCCCAGACAGCUACAUCUUGCAGCAAAUAAAGUAUGCAUUCAUUGAAUAUGACAUUAAAUAUCCUCUAUCAAUUAGCACUCCUUAUUGACCGGUUCAAAAGAAAUUACACAAGUCAGAUGUCUUCUCUAUCUUGAGUGUUUUAAGUAUGUUUAAUCAUGAAUGGCCACCUUACUGAAGUACAUAGCAAUGAAUGGGUCACAAACUCUGAAGUCUGAGUUCAUUUAGAAAGGAUAAAUUAGAAUCUAUUUUCUGAUCUUGGUGAAUUUUGCUGUUGUUUUGACUGUCCUGUUUCCUGCCAUAGAUCUAUGGGGUUUUUUUCUUCCACUAAAGGCACAAGCUAUACACAAAAAAAUAAAGCUGCUCUGUCAUUUCAGUAUCUACUUCCAGCCUUGGUUAUGUGAAAAGCAUUUCAUAUAUAGGAACCAAAGCCACGAGGAGUAGACUUUAUAAAAACACUGUUUUCCUAUGAACAAAUAAACCCAAGUGUCUCUUUGUAAUGCUGCAUUGUAUGGUAUAGCUUAACAACAAACUUACCUUAAAGCAGCCUUUGAUAAAAGGGAGUGACAGUCCUUAGAUACAUGUUGUGUAUGAGCAGAGUCCUGUUUGCUGAGCCCAUAGAGGCAGCUGGCUGAAAAAGGUUAUAAUGCAGAGUGUAUGAAACCGCUUCAGUAUGAACCCCAAGCUGUGCAAUUUUGCAGAAUGCUCAUCACAGGCCAGUCCAUUGUGGGCACUUCUUUCCCAGUAUGAAGUGAGAAUGCUGGCAAUCCUAAGCUGUGCCAUGUCCUGAUAAAAGAUGGUUCUUUUCAACAGGGCUAGGAGAUGGGAGUGGUGAGAGCCCCGAGGGGAUGACCAGCAAUGCUGUAGUUCUGUUCAGCAUACCUGCUGUAUGCACGCCACACAUGCCCAUCUGCCUUUCCUUUUCUUCUCGUCUUACCGCUGCUGUGAAGAUUUUCUCUCCCAUCUUUGUCCAUCUUAUCAUUUCCUCAGUGCAUUUUCAUCAGGAGAGAUCCUCCCUACAUCUUCACUCAGUACCUUGGUCAAGGCUUGUGUGACCCAGAGAGAAAGCAGCUCAAAAUGUUCAUGCUAGCACUCCAUGAGAGGGAGAAAAGUCUGGGCUUUCUCAGGACUUCCCUCUGACCAGCAGAGUCACGUGCACAGAAACAGUACCCUCUGAUUUACGUGGUCAGUUACAGCUUGACAGCAUGGAUGGAGUUUGGUAUAUCCUGUGUCAGUUCACUUUUUACUUCAUCUACCUAUCCACAAAAUAAACAAAAAUAGAGAGAAUGUAGUCA